CAACCUCUUGGAGUACACCUCCAACUCCAGUAUUUGCUGCUUCCUCCAUUUCUCAUCUACCAUCAACUCUCCUCCUCCAAAACUCAAAGGCAUUGCAUUCAUCGCCAACCCGCCAAUUCCUCUCCCAGUACAAGGCCCUACAGCCAUAAAAUUACUCAACAGCUCCUUAAACAAGGGCGACAAGCAACUCCUUACCGUCUCCUCAAUCAAAACCGAAACGUUUUGAUUAUUAUUAUUAAUGACGUUAUUGGUAUUGUUGCUGUCAUUAUUAGCCUCGCUUGAUACACGCUUAUCGUCAACUUUAACACCGGAAGGAGCUGCAGCACAUGACCGUGAUCGCGACCGUUUACGUGACCUGGGCGUGGACUUGUGAUCCUCAAUUUUAACUUCAGCAUCAUUGAAAUUAGGGGGGUUAGGGUUUCCUUCCUCAUCAUCCAA
rnacentral:misc_RNA from 1 species